AGUGAACGCUCGCGGUAGGCCUAACACAUGCGAGUCGAACGGCAGCACAGUAAGAGCUUGCUCUUACGGGUGGCGAGUGGCGGACGGGUGAGGAAUACAUCGGAAUCUACUUUUUCGUGGGGGAUAACGUAGGGAAACUUACGCUAAUACCGCAUACGACCUACGGGUGAAAGCAGGGGAUCUUCGGACCUUGCGCGAUUGAAUGAGCCGAUGUCGGAUUAGCUAGUUGGCGGGGUAAAGGCCCACCAAGGCGACGAUCCGUAGCUGGUCUGAGAGGAUGAUCAGCCACACUGGAACUGAGACACGGUCCAGACUCCUACGGGAGGCAGCAGUGGGGAAUAUUGGACAAUGGGCGCAAGCCUGAUCCAGCCAUACCGCGUGGGUGAAGAAGGCCUUCGGGUUGUAAAGCCCUUUUGUUGGGAAAGAAAAGCAGCAGGUUAAUACCCCGCUGUUCUGACGGUACCCAAAGAAUAAGCACCGGCUAACUUCGUG
rnacentral:rRNA from 1 species